rnacentral:rRNA from 1 species
AGUGAACGCUGGCGGUAGGCCUAACACAUGCAAGUCGAACGGCAGCACAGUAAGAGCUUGCUCUUACGGGUGGCGAGUGGCGGACGGGUGAGGAAUACAUCGGAAUCUACUUUUUCGUGGGGGAUAACGUAGGGAAGCUUACGCUAAUACCGCAUACGACCUACGGGUGAAAGCAGGGGAUCUUCGGACCUUGCGCGAUUGAAUGAGCCGAUGUCGGAUUAGCUAGUUGGCGGGGUAAAGGCCCACCAAGGCGACGAUCCGUAGCUGGUCUGAGAGGAUGAUCAGCCACACUGGAACUGAGACACGGUCCAGACUCCUACGGGAGGCAGCAGUGGGGAAUAUUGGACAAUGGGCGCAAGCCUGAUCCAGCCAUACCGCGUGGGUGAAGAAGGCCUUCGGGUUGUAAAGCCCUUUUGUUGGGAAAGAAAAGCAGCAGGUUAAUACCCCGCUGUUCUGACGGUACCCAAAGAAUAAGCGCCGGCUAACUUCGCG